rnacentral:rRNA from 1 species
UACGUAGGGGGCAAGCGUUGUCCGGAUUUAUUGGGCGUAAAGAGCGUGUAGGCGGUUUGGUAGGUCCGCUGUGAAAACUCGAGGCUCAACCUCGAGACGCCGGUGGAAACCAUCAGACUAGAGUCCGGAAGAGGAGAGUGGAAUUCCUGGUGUAGCGGUGAAAUGCGUAGAUAUCGAGAGGGACACCAGAGGUGAAGACGGGUUGCUGGGCCGACACUGACGCUGACAGCGCGAAAGCCAGGGGAGCAAACGGG